rnacentral:tRNA from 1 species
AGUGGUUUAAGUGCUCGGCUGCUAACUGAAAGGCUGGUGGUUCGAACCCACCAGCUACUC